UUGGCCGGGCGACGGUUGUCCCGGUUUAAGCGUGUAGGUGUGUGUUCCAGGUAAAUCCGGUUCACUUUAACACUGAGGCGUGACGACGAGGCACUACGGUGCUGAAGCAACAAAUGCCCUGCUUCCAGGAAAAGCCUCUAAGCAUCAGGUAACAUCAAAUCGUACCCCAAACCGACACAGGUGGUCAGGUAGAGAAUACCAAGGCGCUUGAGAGAACUCGGGUGAAGGAACUAGGCAAAAUGGUGCCGUAACUUCGGGAGAAGGCACGCUGACACGUAGGUGAAGUGAUUUACUCAUGGAGCUGAAGUCAGUCGAAGAUACCAGCUGGCUGCAACUGUUUAUUAAAAACACAGCACUGUGCAAACACGAAAGUGGACGUAUACGGUGUGACGCCUGCCCGGUGCCGGAAGGUUAAUUGAUGGGGUCAGCGCAAGCGAAGCUCCUGAUCGAAGCCCCGGUAAACGGCGGCCGUAACUAUAACGGUCCUAAGGUAGCGAAAUUCCUUGUCGGGUAAGUUCCGACCUGCACGAAUGGCGUAAUGAUGGCCAGGCUGUCUCCACCCGAGACUCAGUGAAAUUGAACUCGCUGUGAAGAUGCAGUGUACCCGCGGCAAGACGGAAAGACCCCGUGAACCUUUACUAUAGCUUGACACUGAACAUUGAGCCUUGAUGUGUAGGAUAGGUGGGAGGCUUUGAAGUGUGGACGCCAGUCUGCAUGGAGCCGACCUUGAAAUACCACCCUUUAAUGUUUGAUGUUCUAACGUGGACCCGUUACCCGGGUUGCGGACAGUGUCUGGUGGGUAGUUUGACUGGGGCGGUCUCCUCCUAAAGAGUAACGGAGGAGCACGAAGGUUGGCUAAUCCUGGUCGGACAUCAGGAGGUUAGUGCAAUGGCAUAAGCCAGCUUGACUGCGAGCGUGACGGCGCGAGCAGGUGCGAAAGCAGGUCAUAGUGAUCCGGUGGUUCUGAAUGGAAGGGCCAUCGCUCAACGGAUAAAAGGUACUCCGGGGAUAACAGGCUGAUACCGCCCAAGAGUUCAUAUCGACGGCGGUGUUUGGCACCUCGAUGUCGGCUCAUCACAUCCUGGGGCUGAAGUAGGUCCCAAGGGUAUGGCUGUUCGCCAUUUAAAGUGGUACGCGAGCUGGGUUUAGAACGUCGUGAGACAGUUCGGUCCCUAUCUGCCGUGGGCGCUGGAGAACUGAGGGGGGCUGCUCCUAGUACGAGAGGACCGGAGUGGACGCAUCACUGGUGUUCGGGUUGUCAUGCCAAUGGCACUGCCCGGUAGCUAAAUGCGGAAGAGAUAAGUGCUGAAAGCAUCUAAGCACGAAACUUGCCCCGA
rnacentral:rRNA from 8 species